rnacentral:rRNA from 1 species
UAGGGAAUAUUGGACAAUGGGGGCAACCCUGAUCCAGCCAUGCCGCGUGAGUGAAGAAGGCCCUCGGGUUGUAAAGCUCUUUUGUCCGGAAAGAAAAGCUUCGGGUUAAUACCCCGGGGUUCUGACGGUACCGGAAGAAUAAGCACCGGCUAACUUCGUGCCAGCAGCCGCGGUAAUACGAAGGGUGCAAGCGUUACUCGGAAUUACUGGGCGUAAAGCGUGCGUAGGUGGUUGUUUAGGUCUGAUGUGAAAGCCCUGGGCUCAACCUGGGAAUGGCAUUGGAAACUGGGCAGCUAGAGUGCGGUAGAGGGUAGUGGAAUUCCCGGUGUAGCAGUGAAAUGCGUAGAGAUCGGGAGGAACAUCUGUGGCGAAGGCGACUGCCUGGACCAGCACUGACACUGAGGCACGAAAGCGUGGGGAGCAAACA